GGAGUAUUAGGUCAAGAAUGAAACUUCUAAUUUUAUUUUAAGCGGUUGAACUCCGUUUAUACUCCU
rnacentral:tRNA from 1 species